CCCCUCUCAGGAUGGCAGCUGGAGAGUUUCCAGUACUUUACCAGUCUCAGCUAUGGGAGGGAGAGUCAAGCAGACACAAACCCAUUCCAUUUCUAGCUUGGGCAGUGGCUAGCGAGUGGAAGGCAAUUUGCUACAAGU
rfam:Ornithorhynchus anatinus chromosome 3, whole genome shotgun sequence.